GAUGAACGCUGGCGGCGUGCCUAAUACAUGCAAGUCGAGCGCACAGAUUUGGUACUUGCUCCUCUUGCGUUAGCAGCGGACGGGUGAGUAACACGUGGAUAACCUACCUUUAAGACUGGGAUAACUUCUGGAAACCAGUGCUAAUACCGGAUAAUAUCUUUAACCACAUGGUUCAAUAUUGAAAGACGGUUUUGCUGUCCCUUAUAAAUAUCUCCCCUCCUCAUUAGUUAGUUGUUAGGUUAAGGCCUUCCCAAGGGAACGAUGAGUAGCCGACCUGAGAGGGGGAUGGCCCACACGGGAACUGAGACACGGUCAAGACUCCUAGGGAAGGCAGCAUAAGGAAAUCUCGGGAAAUGGGGGAAAGCCGGACGGAGAAAGGCCGCGUGGGUGAGGAAGGUCUUGGGACGGAAAAAUCCUGUGAUAAGGGAAGAAGAAAGGGGUAAGGAAAUACGCACGUAUUGACGGUACCUAAUCAGAAAGCGACGGCUAACUACGUG
rnacentral:rRNA from 1 species